rnacentral:rRNA from 1 species
GACGAACGCUGGCGGCGUGCUUAACACAUGCAAGUCGAGCGGAAAGGCCCUUCGGGGUACUCGAGCGGCGAACGGGUGAGUAACACGUGAGUAAUCUGCCCUUCACUCUGGGAUAGCCACCGGAAACGGUGAUUAAUACCGGAUACGACCAAUCCCUGCAGGGGGUGUUGGUGGAAACUUUUUUGGGUGGGGGAUGUGCUCGCGGCCUAUCAGCUUGUUGGUGGGGUAAUGGCCUACCAAGGCUUCGACGGGUAGCCGGCCUGAGAGGGUGAGCGGCCACACUGGGACUGAGACACGGCCCAGACUCCUACGGGAGGCAGCAGUGGGGAAUAUUGGACAAUGGGCGGAGGCCUGAUCCAGCAACGCCGCGUGAGGGAUGACGGCCUUCGGGUUGUAAACCUCUUUCAGCACCGACGAAGCGCAAGUGACGGUAGGUGCAGAAGAAGGACCGGCCAACUACGUGCCAGCAGCCGCGGUAACAC